rnacentral:tRNA from 2 species
AAGCUUAGCUCAGUUGGUUAGAGCACCUGCCUUACAAGCAGGGGGUCACAGGUUCGAGUCCUGUAGCUUCC